GACGAACGCUGGCGGCGUGCUUAACACAUGCAAGUCGUACGGUAAGGCCCUUUCGGGGGUGCACGAGUGGCGAACGGGUGAGUAACACGUGAGUAACCUGCCCACAACUUUGGGAUAACGCUAGGAAACUGGUGCUAAUACUGGAUAUGUGCUCCUGCUGCAUGGUGGGGGUUGGAAAGCUCCGGCGGUUGUGGAUGGACUCGCGGCCUAUCAGCUUGUUGGUGGGGUAGUGGCCUACCAAGGCGGCGACGGGUAGCCGGCCUGAGAGGGUGACCGGCCACAUUGGGACUGGGAUACGGCCCAGACUCCUACGGGAGGCAGCAGUGGGGAAUAUUGCACAAUGGGCGCAAGCCUGAUGCAGCAACGCCGCGUGCGGGAUGACGGCCUUCGGGUUGUAAACCGCUUUCAGCAGGGACGAAGCUUUUUGUGACGGUACCUGCAGAAGAAGCACCGGCUAACUACGUG
rnacentral:rRNA from 1 species